rnacentral:misc_RNA from 1 species
ACCGAUGUGCAUGACUACCAGGUCAAGAUGCGCAACGUGGUCAAGUUCCUUGAGAAUGGUGACAAGGUCAAAGUGACCCUGCGGUUCCGCGGUCGUGAAAUGGCGCACCAGGAUCUGGGUCGCCAGCUUUUGGAACGUGUCGCUGAAGACACGAAAGAACUCGGCAAGAUUGAAAACAUGCCGAAAAUGGAAGGCCGUCAGAUGAUUAUGAUGAUCGGCCCGCUUCCUGCCAAAGGCUGAUACGUCAGGCUGUUCAAGGUUCAAACCCCGGCGCUUUGCCGGGGUUUUUCUUUGACGUGAGGGCGUUUUUUAUCAAAAAGCCCC